rnacentral:misc_RNA from 1 species
GAUGAAGAACGUAGCGAAAUGCGAUAAGUAAUGUGAAUUGCAGAAUUCAGUGAAUCAUCGAAUCUUUGAACGCACAUUGCGCCCGCCAGUAUUCUGGCGGGCAUGCCUGUCCGAGCGUCAUUUCAACCCUCGAACCCCUCCGGGGGGUCGGCGUUGGGGACCUCGGGAGCCCCUAAGACGGGAUCCCGGCCCCGAAAUACAGUGGCGGUCUCGCCGCAGCCUCUCCUGCGCAGUAGUUUGCACAACUCGCACCGGGAGCGCGGCGCGUCCACGUCCGUAAAACACCCAACUUCUGAAAUGUUGACCUCCGAUCAGGUAGGAAUACCCGCUGAACUUAAGCAUAUCAAUAAGCGGAGGA